AUUGAACGCUGGCGGAAUGCUUUACACAUGCAAGUCGAACGGCAGCACGGACUUCGGUCUGGUGGCGAGUGGCGAACGGGUGAGUAAUGUAUCGGAACGUGCCCAGUCGUGGGGGAUAACGUAGUGAAAAUUACGCUAAUACCGCAUACGAUCUAUGAAUGAAAGCGGGGGAUCGCAAGACCUCGCGCGAUUGGAGCGGCCGAUAUCAGAGUCGGGCGUUGGUGGGUCAAAGGCCCACCAAGCCAACGAUCUGUAGCUGGUCUGAGAGGACGACCAGCCACACUGGAACUGAGACACGGUCCAGACUCCUACGGGAGGCAGAAGUGGGGAAUUUUGGACAAUGGGCGAAAGCCUGAUCCAGCCAUUCCGCGUGCAGGAUGAAGGCCCUCGGGUUGUAAACUGCUUUUGUACAGAACGAAAAGGUUUCUACUAAUACUAGGAGCUCAUGACGGUACUGUAAGAAUAAGCACCGGCUAACUACGUGCCAGCAGCCGCCGUAA
rnacentral:rRNA from 1 species